UUUCUCUUGUAGACUGCAUUUGGCCUUUGUUUCACUGUGGCUUUGGAACGGUUUCUUGCCUGGGACCUGUUUCUUGUCCUGAGGACUGCCCUUGCCUUGUGCCUGGAUUCUGCCUGGUGGAUUGGACUUGGAACCCUGGUCCUUGCCCUCUGCCCGCAAUCCUUUGGGAGUUGGGCGACAUAUAAGUUUAAUUAAAGAAAUAAAUAAAGAAGCAGCCCGGAGCAGAUCUGCCUGCUCACAGUGAAAUUCUAUGCCACACAACAGCUGAUGUAGGUCAUACGGUCCUCCAGAUACAACCUUGGCCAAUGAAACCUUAGCCAAUACAGACUCUGCCAAAAAACACCAGAAGGUCCAGUUAAGCAACAUCUGAAGAGUGAUUUGAUUCCAUUUCUUUGAUCUACUGCAGUUGUUGAAAACUACAUUGAGGGCUGAGGGCUGCACUGGGUAGAUUGGGGAUGUGGCUAACAGGAUGAUGGUCUUUAUUUUGGGUUGAGCAGAAGGUGCUUGUGUAUUGGAGAAAGUAGAUCUAACUAAUAACAUGAAGGGUGCACCC
rnacentral:lncRNA from 1 species